rnacentral:rRNA from 1 species
UACGAAGGGGCUAGCGUUGCUCGGAAUCACUGGGCGUAAAGGGUGCGUAGGCGGGUCUUUAAGUCAGGGUGAAAUCCUGGAGCUCAACUCCAGAACUGCCUUUGAUACUGAAGAUCUUGAGUCGGAGAGGUGAGUGGAACUGCGAGUGUAGAGGUGAAAUUCGUAGAUAUUCGCAAGAACACCAGUGGCGAAGGCGGCUCACUGGCCCAUAACUGACGCUGAGGCACGAAAGCGUGGGAGCAAACAGGGAUAGAUAC